UGUGGUUCUCCACCAGCUGUUUGAGCUGACAAACACCAUCCUGGGACUCAGCAAGCCUGGAGGUCAGUGUCUGGUUCUCCUUCUCCCUGGACAUCACCAGUUCCUGCAGGGCCUCACGCUCUGCACGAUUCUCCCGUGCCUAAUGGGUGGAUGGACAGCAUGAAACAUGGCCGAUACUAGCUGACAUGAAGAAACACCCUCCACCUGUGGCAGCGACUCAAACUCAUCCUGGGUGGAGUGGAAGGAGGAGUUGGAGGCCAUGCUGUUUGGACGACUGCUGUCCUUCAGGUCCUCGCUGCCUUGGAUGGACGGAUGUUUCUGUAAGGGAUUGAGAAAUAAAAAAGUGUGGUUAUUCAUUACAUUGGGACGACCAAAAAGCUGCAAUUUCUCGUUUUUUUUAUGUUUAAAAAAUAAUUAUGAAUUAUUUUCUUUAGCCUAUUAAUUAUCAUGAAAAUAUGCAUGAACACCAUUUUAUUUUGUUGUUAUGGCAGAGUGGUUUGUUUCAUAAUUUUCAUCACUGUAUUCUAUGCUUUUAAUCGUUAAUUAAAGCACUGAGGUCAACAUUUAUUGUUUUUAACUGUGCUUUAUAAAUAAAUAUGACCUAUUCAUUGCAGCACUAAUAAGUAAAUCACUGCAUAUAACAGAAAUAUAUUUGUGAAAAUAUGGAAUUGUGUGUUACAUCAUUACGUCCAUCAUAUGUUAAUGUGACUUUUUAGUAAAUUGAUAUUCAAAACGCUACAUUUGAUUAUAUUUUAUUUUUUCUUAGGUUAGAUUUAGGUCAUAGUUCAAUUAGUCUGCAAGUGUCAUUUUUCAAGCAAAAGUGAAUUUUUCUGACACUGAAAUGCUACUUUUACUGAUUAUUUCAGCAGCUAUUAUUAUAUAACUCCAUUAUUUGUACCUAGCCUUGUUUUAUCUUAAUAAAAACUACUUCAGAAAAGUCUUCUGGGACUU